UAGAAUUGAUGGGUAAUUUGGCAAGAACUCGAUUGGGUUAGUAUAUCGGGUUAAAUCGAUCAGUUGAACUCGAGUUAGCUCGUUUAAGUCAAGUGAUGGAAUUAGUUAGAAUCUUGCUAUGAAUUCUAGAAUGCAACUGAUGACCCAAAGAUUGAUUCAUAGAUUGAUUUUGAUGAUCACAAAACCUUAAAGUAUAGAUACUAAUGUUCAUGUUGCAAGGAGAAAGAUAAUUAUUUUGCAAGGAACAUAGCAAGUUGGAAGAACAGAAGAAGGCCUCCAAAGCUCUCAAGUUGGAAGAAAGCUACAAUUUAUUGGCCCAAGCUUAAAGUUCAAAGGAUUCAAUUUGGAG
rnacentral:lncRNA from 1 species